AAAUAACCAAUUGCUGUGUGCAUUUCAUGCCGGUGGCCUGCCUUGCCCUGCCACUUGACACCCGCUGGUCAUUCCCAUGUGAGCUGGCCGCGCGCUGUGUUGCUGCUCAGUUUGGCCACGCCGACCCGCGCGGCUAUUUUGGUAUCUUCUGGAGUCGCUAUCGGGAGCCAGGCGAAACCACUGCAUUUGAACAUGGAUCUGAGGACUUGACUGACUUUGGAUCCGCUGGGCUGGAAGCAAACUAAAGGGUCCACAGAGCUGCAGUGACUGAAACGGUGAUGCACAAGAUC
rnacentral:lncRNA from 1 species